rnacentral:tRNA from 1 species
GCUGGGGUUAUGGCUCAGUAGCAGAGUGCUUGCCUAGCAUAUGCAAGGCACUGGGUUCGAUUCUCAGCCCUGCA